ACUCAGAUUUUUAAUCCCCAUUUCAUUUUGGUCUUCGUGUCUCUCUUGGUCACUCUUACUGUCUUCUCUUCUACUAUUCCGUCUCCUUAUGAAACCCAAAAUUUAAAAGAAGGAUUUUGCUUUCGAGGCAAAUUUAGUACACCCAUCUGUGGAGUUGUUCAUUUCAUUGAAAUUUUGAGUCGAGAAAUCUUGCAUGUCACUUGAAACUUGGUGCUUGAUAUCUCAGUUGUGGCGAUGUUACUGUUCGCGAUAAGGGCAGGAGAUGUGUUUGGAAGGAGAGGAAAUCGACAGCUUAAACAACUCUGAAGACUUCGUGGAUUAUUAGAACGAUCAUCUGUUGCACUCAUUGUUCUUUUGAUCUGUUGUAUCUCUCUUUUCACUACUUCCAAGAGUACUACCAAUCGCCCUGGGAUUCACUCCGGUGAAGAGUCGACCAAAGAUGAGAAAAAUGCUAUUGAAAAAUCGCCACAAUAAUAGGGAUUUUCCGGUGUAGAAUGAUUGCUCUCACAGGUUUGGUUCAGUUAAUAUGUUAACUUAACUUUCUUAUUUAUCAUCUGGACAGUUGUUAAUGCUGACUAAGUUGAACACAUCAGAUGAAACAAUGGUUUUGAUAAAGAUUAGGAAAUGAGCAUAAAUUGGAGACAUGGCGUAGAACUCAGGAAUUGAUUUAGAUAUCUUUGAAAAGAAUUCUUCUUCAGUGGAACAUUAAUUGAUUUUUUCCAUGACCAUUGUCUUUUAUAUUGAUAUUAGCUGAUUCAGGAGUUUGGGUUUUGCUAUUUUAUUAUCCUAUCGAGUAUAUAUUUCCAUGACAAUAAUAGAGCCUUGCAAGCAGAUUAAAUUUAUUAAUAUGUGCGCAUGUCUGAGUUGCAUAACAAAUGUGGCGUAGAGAACUUCGUUGUUGGAACAUAUGUGUACUUUUCUCAGUAACACUCAAGGUUGGGGUUCCUUCAUUGAUCCACCGAAUUGCAAUCCAUGUGCUUGCUUAGAACCAUUUUUAUUUUAGAUGUUAAAUUAAUGUCUCUUGCGUUUCAGAUUCGGCUCUUCUUAGAUUUGAUUAAGCUACUGUUGAUAAAAAAUUUCUCAUUAUGUGGUAACAAUCGACAGGUAAAAUCAUUGAUAACCUCCCAUGGUAAUUUGAAUUUAAUUACACCACUUUUAAAUUCUUUAUGGCUAUGAUUGAGGAAAACUACUAAUGUUAGCUUCGGGGUAAAGCGCAGCUUAUGCUGUAAAUGUCUUCUCAUUGUUGAUACUAAUGUUUUUUUUCUUUUUCUUAAUGUAUUAACUGUUUGUGUAUUAGAUGCUUUGGAUUAAUGGCAGGGGCAUCAAGAAUGCCAAUUAUGUGCUUCCAGUUUAGUUUUUUGGUUGUCGAUUAACUGUAAGAAACUAGCAAAAACAAAAAACAUAGUUGCACGACUUAUUUCAGCAGAAGUAAUAUAGUUUUUUCAGUUAUAUUAUGACUGGAUUUCUAUAAGAUUGCUGCUUUUUUUGACCAGACUUCGAUGUAUUUCUGCAGGAUUUAUUGGUGGAGACCGCGACAGAGCAGGAUGGCUCAGUCAGUAAUAUCACUGUGCAUCCCACAGUUUUUCAGGCAUUGACACUAGCAGUACGUAAAGCGAGUCAAUCUAUAUGCAGUUAAGAAGAGAACGAUAAUAGAAGAUCCUUGCUUUGCCCCCAGAAGCAUGGCAAUACAGUCGAAGAAAAAUUAUAAUCAUCACAAUGUAUGUGAUGUAACACGUUUUCUAAUUUAUUUAUUAUUGAUUCUUACAGAUUUGUACUUUACCUGGAAGCAGCAAAUAUGUACUCGAAUUUGUAAGCAUUCAGAUAUAUAAUCGGAUUUGUAAGCAGUACGACAGAUAUGUACUCAGAUUUCUAAGCAGUGCGACAGAUAUGUACUCAAAUUUGUAAGCAGUGUAACAAAUAUGUACUCGAAUUUUU